rnacentral:lncRNA from 1 species
UUGAGUAUUUCUUAUAUACAUUUCAAGUGUUAUUCCCUUUCCCGGUUUCCGGACAGACAUCACCCUCCCCCCUCCCCUUCCUUGUGGGUGUUCCCCCUCCCAAACCUCCCCCCAUUGCCACCCUCCCCGCAUAGUCUAGUUCACUGGGGGUUCAGUCUUAGCAGGACCCAGGGCUUCCCCUUCCACUGGUGCUCUUACUAGGAUAUUCAUUGCUACCUAUGGGGACAGAGUCCAGGGUCAGUCCAUGUAUAGUCUUUAGGUAGUGGCUUAGUCCCUGGAAGCUCUGGUUGCUUGACAUUGUUGUACUUUUGGGGU